CAUUCGAUGAACCAAUUUUCCCAGAAGCCAGCUUGAUCCGAGUGUUACUGCUCAGAAGGGAAGCGAACUAGAUAAUGUGGCAAUCCAGCAACUGAAUGCUCUGCGCGGCUCACUUCAGGGCAGUUUAGUUCUGUAGCAAACACCAAAUAUGAAUCAGCAGCUGUAGACCAGUCCUGAAGAAACCAGCUCGACAACCAUCCCCAGGGUGCCGAAGCUACAAGAAGCCACAGGAACCUAGAGUGCAGUUCUUUUGGGUAAGUUUCCCUCAAUGGCAGCAUUAUCAUAAUUAUCACAAGUUGAGCUCAACAAUGCAAUGUAAGAUGAACCAAUACAUGCAUGCUGUUAGCAAAGAAUAGAGAGGUGGAGCAAACCAAACCAAUGCUCUUACUUCCCCACUGUCUGCAGGGUCACAUUUACAUUCCUUCAUCCAGUGUCCUUCCACAUGUUCGCUGUAUCCAAACAUCCUUUCACCUGUGUCUGCUUCAGGAAAACAUCCUGUGACAUCACUGACUUUUCAGACAAACUAGAAGUUUCCCCUGGUUCCCCCACUGACCAGCAUGGGCUGUCAUAAAGUGGAUGCUUCGUGUGGCAGCCUAAAGUGAUCGAGUCAUAGUAAGAUAGAACCAGAAAAUAUGCUACAAGAUUCCACAGACUAUUAAGUUUCUGAGAAAUGACCAUUUACAAGUGACUACUGGGC
rnacentral:lncRNA from 1 species